AACGAACGCUGGCGGCAGGCCUAACACAUGCAAGUCGAGCGAUACCAGCAAUGGUGGAGCGGCAGACGGGUGAGUAACACGUGGGAACGUACCCUUCGGUUCGGAAUAACUCAGGGAAACUUGAGCUAAUACCGGAUACGUCCGAGAGGAGAAAGAUUUAUCGCCGAAGGAUCGGCCCGCGUCUGAUUAGCUAGUUGGUGAGGUAAUGGCUCACCAAGGCGACGAUCAGUAGCUGGUCUGAGAGGAUGAUCAGCCACAUUGGGACUGAGACACGGCCCAAACUCCUACGGGAGGCAGCAGUGGGGAAUAUUGGACAAUGGGCGCAAGCCUGAUCCAGCCAUGCCGCGUGAGUGAUGAAGGCCUUAGGGUUGUAAAGCUCUCUUA
rnacentral:rRNA from 1 species